GGUCUCUAAUGAUGCAUUGCACUGGGCUCUGAAUUAAUGUGGCGAAGAACGUGCUACUCUGCUCCUGACAUGGCAGAGUCUGAUGAGACC